UAAUGACUCUCGGCAACGGAUAUCUCGGCUCUCGCAUCGAUGAAGAACGUAGCAAAAUGCGAUACGUGGUGUGAAUUGCAGAAUUCUGUGAACCAUCGAGUAUUUGAACGCAAGUUGCGCCCAAUGUCAUUUGGUUGAGGGCACGUCUGCCUGGGUGUCACGC
rnacentral:rRNA from 1 species